GACGAACGCUGGCGGCGUGCCUAAUACAUGCAAGUAGAACGCUGAAGGAGGAGCUUGCUUCUCUGGAUGAGUUGCGAACGGGUGAGUAGCGCGUAGGUAACCUGCCUGGUAGCGGGGGAUAACUAUUGGAAACGAUAGCUAAUACCGCAUAAUAGUAGAUGUUGCAUGACAUUUGCUUAAAAGGUGCAAUUGCAUCACUACCAGAUGGACCUGCGUUGAAUUAGCUAGUUGGUGGGGUAACGGCUCACCAAGGCGACGAUACAUAGCCGACCUGAGAGGGUGAUCGGCCACACUGGGACUGAGACACGGCCCAGACUCCUACGGGAGGCAGCAGUAGGGAAUCUUCGGCAAUGGACGGAAGUCUGACCGAGCAACGCCGCGUGAGUGAAGAAGGUUUUCGGAUCGUAAAGCUCUGUUGUAAGAGAAGAACGAGUGUGAGAGUGGAAAGUUCACACUGUGACGGUAUCUUACCAGAAAGGGACGGCUAACUACGUG
rnacentral:rRNA from 1 species